GACGUAGGGCGCGAGCGUUGUCCGGAUUUAUUGGGCGUAAAGAGCUCGUAGGCGGCUUGUUGCGUCGGCUGUGAAAACCCGCAGCUCAACUGUGGGCUUGCAGCCGAUACGGGCAGGCUUGAGUUCGGUAGGGGAGACUGGAAUUCCCGGUGUAGCGGUGAAAUGCGCAGAUAUCGGGAAGAACACCCGUGGCGAAGGCGGUUCUCUGGGACGGUACUGACGCUGAGACGCGAAAGCGUGGGGAGCAAACAGG
rnacentral:rRNA from 1 species